UCCAACAAAUUAUUAUGAGUUUGAUGCAUGUUUCUUCAUUUCAUACUGUCAAAACAUAACAAUAUACAAUACAUGAAUGACACCUGCAAGGCUGCGGUUCACAGUUUAACAACAAUUGGAACACUUCAGCCAUGGCCGAGUUGUAACGAUUGUAUAUAAGAGGUCUUUCUCGAAGCUUGCCAAAGAUGGUCAAGUUUUAAGCUUGGUACAAUUGUUGUCUGUGUCGGUCAAGUUUCGUUUUGUUGGAAAGAUGUUUUUGGCCAGAAUCAACGCCCUUGCAGAAAAAAGCCAACCAAAACUACCUUCAGACAAACACGGCUGAAAUUGAGCUGAAUUUGUGCUAUAUGCAGUAUAUCGAUCAAUACAUAGCAUCGAUGCCUCAAAAGACACGUGUCUGGCACGCAUGGUCAACGACUUGGACCGAUACACAAAGCCUAAUUGCAAAAUGGUUAAAGUUGUUGAUGACAGACAUCAACCAAGACUCUGUCUGUAU